AUUGAACGCUGGCGGCAGGCCUAACACAUGCAAGUCGAACGCGUGGCGGACGGGUGAGUAAUGUCUGGGAAACUGCCCGAUGGAGGGGGAUAACUACUGGAAACGGUAGCUAAUACCGCAUACCAUCGGAUGUGCCCAGAUGGGCGUGGCUCGUAGGGGGGGUAACGGCUCACCUAGGUGACGAUCCCUAACUGGUCUGAGAGGAUGACCAGCAACACGGGAACGGAGACACGGUCCAGACGCCUACUGGAGGCAGCAGUGGGGAGUAUUGCACAAUGGGCGCAAGCCUGAUGCAGCCAUGCCGCGUGUAUGAAGAAGGCCUUCGGGUUGUAAAGUACCUUCAGCGAGGAGGCGUUACUCGCAGAAGAAGCACCGGCUAACUCCGUGCCAGCAGCCGCGGUAAUAC
rnacentral:rRNA from 1 species